GUCCAGACUCCUACGGGAGGCAGCAGUGAGGAAUAUUGGUCAAUGGGCGCGAGCCUGAACCAGCCAAGUCGCGUGAGGGAUGACGGUCCUACGGAUUGUAAACCUCUUUUGCCGGGGAGCAAGCGUGCGUUCGUGAACGCACGUCGAGAGUACCCGGAGAAAAAGCAUCGGCUAACUCCGUGCCAGCAGCCGCGGUAAUACGGAGGAUGCGAGCGUUAUCCGGAUUUAUUGGGUUUAAAGGGUGCGUAGGCGGUCCGGAAAGUCAGGGGUAAAACCCCGGGGCUCACCCCCGGGGAGCCGUUGAAACUGUCGGACUAGAGACGGCGAGAAGUACGCGGAAUGCGCGGUGUAGCGGUGAAAUGCAUAGAUAUCGCGCAGAACUCCGAUUGCGAAGGCAGCGUACCGGCGCCGGACUGACGCUGAGGCACGAAAGCGUGGGUAUCGAACAGGAUUAGAUACCCUGGUAC
rnacentral:rRNA from 1 species